GAGUUUGAUUCUGGCUCAGGACAAACGCUGGCGGCGUGCAUAACACAUGCAAGUCGAACGAAAUCUACAUGAUUUAGUGGCGAACGGGUGAGUAACACGUGAGAAACCUGCCUUACACAGAGGGAUAGCCGUUGGAAACGACGAUUAAUACCUCAUGACACCGUGACAUCGCAUGAUGAUGCGGUCAAAGAUUUAUCGGUGUAAGAUGGUCUCGCGCCUGAUUAGCUGGUUGGUGGGGUAACGGCCUACCAAGGCGACGAUCAGUAGCCGAUCUGAGAGGGUGGACGGCCACAUUGGGACUGAGACACGGCCCAAACUCCUACGGGAGGCAGCAGUGGGGAAUUUUGCACAAUGGGGGAAACCCUGAUGCAGCGACGCCGCGUGAACGAAGAAGGCCUUCGGGUUGUAAAGUUCUGUCCUUGGUGAAGAUAAUGACAUAACCAAGAAGAAGCCCCG
rnacentral:rRNA from 1 species